GGUGAACGCUGGCGGCGUGCUUAAGACAUGCAAGUCGAACGAUCGUCUUCGGACGGUAGUGGCGCACGGGUGAGUACCGCGUAACUGACCUGCCCUCAAGUUCCGACUAACACUCCGAAAGGAGGGUUAAUACGGGAUGUCUUGUCCCCUCCUGUGGGGCCAGUAAAGGCUUGACCGCUUGGGGGUGGGGUUGCGUUCCAUCAGUUAGGUGGUGCGGUAAAGACCUACCAUGGCAACGACGGACAACCGGCCUGAGAGGGUGGACGGGCACAGCGGCACUGAGACACGGGUCCGGCUCCUACGGGAGACAGCAGGUAAGGGGCGACAGCAAUGGGCGAAAGUCUGAGGGAGCGGAGGCGGGUGAUGGGUGAGGAAUAUCGUAUCGUAAGCCACGAAAUAAGGGGCAAAAGACGCGGAAGCGGGAUGACGGUACCUGAGAAAUAGCACCGGCUAACUCCGUG
rnacentral:rRNA from 1 species